rnacentral:rRNA from 1 species
AUUGAACGAUGGCGGCAGGCCUAACACAUGCAAGUCGAGCGAGCGGCGGAAGGGUGAGUCAUGUAUGGGGACUGCCCGAUAGAGGGGGCUAACUACUGGAAAAGGUGACUAAUACAGCAUAAUGUCGGAUAACCCAUAUGGGAUUAGCUAGGAGGUACGGUAAUGGCUUACCUAGGCGACGAUCCAUAGCUGGUCUGAGAGGAUGAUCAGCCAACCUGGGACUGAGACACGGCACAGACGCCGACGGAGGCAGCAGUGGUGAAGAUUGCACAAUGGGCGCAAGCCUGAUGCAGCCAUGCCGCGUGUAGGAAGAAGGCCCUAGGGUUGUAAAGUACGUUCAGUCGGGAGGCGUUACCGACAGAAGAAGCACCGGCUAACUCCGUGCCAGCAGCCGCGGUAAUAG